rnacentral:rRNA from 1 species
CCUACGGGAGGCAGCAGUGGGGGAUAUUGCACAAUGGGGGAAACCCUGAUGCAGCGACGCCGCGUGGGGGAAGACGGUCCUCUGGAUUGUAAACCACUGUCACCAGGGACGAAGAUGACGGUACCUGGGGAGGAAGCUCAGGCUAACUAAGUGCCAGCAGCCGCGGAAAGCUGUAGGGAGCGAGCGUUGUCCGGAAUUACUGGGUGAAACGGAAGCGGAGGCGUGGAUGCAAGUUGGGUGUCAAAACUACCGGCUCAACUGGUAGUCGCACUCAAAACUGCAGCUCUUGAGUGAAGUAGAGGCAGGCGGAAUUCCUAGUGUAGCGGUGAAAUGCGUAGAUAUUAGGAGGAACACCAGUGGCGAAGGCGGCCUGCUGGGCUUUUACUGACGCUGAGGCUCGAAAGUGUGGGGAGCAAACAGGAUUAGAUACCCGAGUAGUC